CUCUGAGACCGUGACAGCAGGCGGUACGGUAACCGAUACACUCACCCCGCUCCACUAGCGCACGCAGAGCGGCACCUUCCCCCGCUUUGGCGGGCUUUUCUGUCUCGCCGCUUCGGCUGGCUUCGUCUUAUCCCCUUCCCGGAACCCAGUUUUCACCCAAUCUCGCACCCACCGCUUGCGUGGCGCGAUAAGACGCUCUCGUUUCAUUACGGCGCCGCGUUCUCUCUCACUUCCCCGCCGCUUCGUGAUCUAUUAGUGGAAAAGCUGAGUGGGAUUAGCAGCAGCGCUCGGCGCCCCCCUUCGUCUUUUUUGAGAGCGCCGGAGAGACGGAGAGGCGAAGGUAGAUGGAUUGCGUCGCGAGGAGAACGCGCAGCCGGAGAGCCCUAAGCGAAGGGGCCUGGCUCGAAGGGUCGCCCAGCCUUCGCGGACACGGCGCCGCCGCCCGCUCCAGCGGCUCCUCCUCGGCCGGCGGAGGCCGGGAGGGGGCUGGGGUUUCGGAUUCCCCGGAUGGAUUAGGAUUCGAUGAGAGGAGCGAGACUUCGGUUGGGGCACCGGCCCCGCAAGUGAUCGUCCUCGACGACGACGGUGACGAGGACGACGGAGGAAGAGGAGUUGACGGGGAUUGCAAGAAAGGGGCUUCUUUGCAGGGGAAUCGCGGCCACCGGAGCUCUCGGAAGUCUGCUUACGCGGAUGAGGCGGUGGAAUUGGGAGCUUGGCCGCGACCACCGGGGUUGCGGAACGGAGGGGAGUCCUGGUCGUCCUCCGAUCGGAAAGCGGUCAUCGCCGUUUCGGAUCUCAAGGGUGACGAUAGCGAGGCCACCGUGGAAGACCGAACGAGGUCGAAAUCAGGUUCUAAUGAUGUAAAAUCGGCUUCUUGGAGCGGUUCAGACGCUGCCAGUGGGGGAUUGAAUGCUUGCGAACAUGAAGGAAGAGAAGGGGAAAUGCUUGAAGUCAAUGUUGCCGAAAGAAAGUCAGAAGAUAAAGAAGCCUGUGACGGCGGUGGAGAAAAGGAAAUUCAUAAAAUCGCGGAUUCUAAUGGGGAAGUCGAAGUUCUAGAAACUAAUGAUGCUAAUGUAGAAGAAAAAGAUCAGGAAUUGAUGGUUGAUGAAGGGGAAACCCAUGAAGUUCACAAACACGAUGUCAAAUUUGGAGUUCAAGAAUCUGAACAAACUGGAAAACAAGGGGUAAGUCUCAAUCUUGCCGACGCCAAUAGAGAAAGAAAAGAUCAGGAAUUUGAGAUUGCUGACGGGAAAACCCAUGAAGUUUGUGAACCCAAUGUCGAAUUCAGAGCUCAAGAAUCUCAACAAACUGGCAAAGAAGGGGGGAGCCAUAAUCUUGCUUUUGCCAAUGGAGAAAGAAAAGAUCAGGAUGUUGAGGUUGAUGAAGGGAAAACCCAUGAAGUUCACGAACCCAAUGUCGAAUUCGAAGUUGAAGAAUGUCGAGAAAGUGGCAGAAAAGAUGGAAGUAACAUUCUUGCUGACGCUGAAGGGCAGGUGGAUGUUCUGGAAAUUAAUGAUGUUGAUGAAGAAGAGGAUGCUGAGGUAGGCAGUGACAAAAGGAGUGCUCAGGAAGUUAGGUAUUUUGUGACAACUUCUUGUGUAGCAAGGAGGACUCGAUCGCGAAUGGGGAAGCAAAGGAGAGUGUCAUAUACGCAAUACUUCAAGGUGGAAUUGUCGGAUGAUUCAGAGGAUGAGGAGGAUGAAGAAGAGGAGGAGGCGGAAGAUGAUUCCUGUUAUGAAAGUGACUAUGCUGAUCCUGAGAACACCAGGAUAAUGAGCGGAGGUGGCCAGAAGGGGUGUGGGGAGGAUGGGCAGAACUACAAGGUUAAGCCGGAUGUAAGAAGUUUCUCUGGCGAGGACGGGAGUAUAGCAGUUGCCCACCAUGCUCAAUCCUGUUUUGAUUCAGAGCCUUGCAACAAGAAACAGAAGGUUGGGUUUGCAAGUAACCUGGAUGAAUCAAAGGAAAAUUUUGGUUUUUCAUCUGGUAUGGAUUGUGGGAAGGGCAGUUGCAGAAGGAAUCAGGUUAAGAGUGGUGGUGGUGGCAGCAAGAUAGAUGUGGAUGGGAGAGAAUGGGGGUCAAGGCGAGAGGGACCACAGCUGGGGAAAACCAAGAAGAGAAAGCGUUUGCGGGCAUUGAAGAGUUGCUCCCUCUUUAAUCUUCUUGUUGAUACCAUUUGCAAUGACCUAGAUAAGCUUCCAGAGAAUUUGGUUUCUUCCAAGGAAAAAUCUUCUCUAUCAAAUGUGAAACCAUCUUGCAACAAGGAUAUAUUUCCAUGCAUAUUCUCGUUUGCAGAUGAAGAUGGCAAACCUGUUGAAAAAUCAGAUUUUGAGAAUGCGCUGGAUGAAUUAUGGGCUGAUUUUGAAUUUGCUCUAGAGUCGAACAAUAUCGGUACCUACAAUAAUGAUGAGGGUCAAAUAGAAGUUGAUAUACCUGAGGAUGAAUCUGAUCUAUUGACAUUAUGUUCUAAAGGGAAACACCAGUUUAUUCUUGAUGAGCAGAUAGGAACUAGAUGCAAGUUCUGCUCCUUUGUGAAUCUGGAGAUCAAAUAUAUAAUACCAUCUUUGGCAACACACAUUUGGGAAGGGUCAGCUAGGAUAAACUCUGCUAAGGUGGAAGGCACGCUCUUAUUUGAUGAUCUUUGUAGAACAGUUAAAGAUGAUGGUAAUCCAAAUUCAUGCGGUCUUCUAAAGGGAACUGUAUGGGAUCUCGUUCCAGGGAUUAAGGAUAAAAUGUAUGAACAUCAGCAGGAAGCAUUUGAGUUUAUGUGGAAAAAUCUAGCUGGAGGAAUUGACCUUGAUGAGCUGAAAUCAGGUGCUAGAUCUGACGUCAUUGGUGGGUGUGUGAUUUCACAUGCCCCAGGGACAGGAAAGACGCGAUUAUCAAUAAUCUUUAUCCAGACAUACAUGAAGGUUUUCCCAGAAUGCAGGCCUGUAAUUGUUGCUCCUAGUGGAAUGCUCCUGACGUGGGAAGAAGAAUUCAGAAAAUGGAACGUGGACCUUCCAAUUCAUAAUUUGAAUGCUCCAGACUACUCUGGGAAGGAAGAUAUUGCCUUCCGUCAGUUGGCAGCGAAAGAACCUCGAAAUAUCAGUUUCAUGCGUCUAGUGAAAUUAUAUUCAUGGGUCAAAAGUAACGGUAUCCUUGGAAUAAGCUAUGGCUUGUUCAAAAAGCUAACAGCAGACAACUCUUGUGACCCGAAAUUGAGUCAGGUCCUGCUUGAGAAGCCAGGUUUGCUUGUUCUUGAUGAGGGGCACACACCCAGAAAUGAACGCAGUCUUAUUUGGAAGGCACUGGGAAAAAUCAAAACAGAAAAACGUAUCAUCCUUUCUGGAACUCCUUUUCAAAAUAAUUUUGGGGAGCUUUACAAUAUUAUGUGUCUGGUAAAACCUAAAUUUGCUGAAAAGAUCUCAAUUAGAACAUCAAAACGAGGUCAAAGAAAGGCAAAAUUCAUCUCGUACAUGGAACAAGACAUCUUACCAGAAAAGAAUGAAGGAAAAGAGAUUUGGGCUUCUCUAACUAAUCAUGUUACUGAUGAUAAUGCGGAAGAAAUAAGAUCAAUAUUAAAACCAUUUGUGCAUAUUCAUAGUGGCAAUAUCCUCAACACUCUUCCUGGUUUGAGGGAAUGCGUGAUUGAAUUAGAUCCACCACCUCACCAAAAAGACAUCAUUGAGAAAAUGGAACACAUUGGAUCGAAUGUCAUCUUUGAGAAUGAAUAUAAGACCUCCUUGGCUUCUAUUCAUCCUUCAUUAGUCACUUAUUUGAACUUGUCUACUGAGGAAGAAUCUCUUUUAGACAAACCUUUGCUAGAGAAACAGAAGUUGAACCCCUAUAUAGGGGUGAAAACAAGAUUUGUAAUGGAAGUUGUUCGACUUUGCGAAGCAUUAAAAGAGAAGGUUUUGAUUUUCAGUCAGUAUAUUCAGCCAUUGUCUAUGAUAAAGGACCAACUAAUCAAGUUAUUCAAUUGGAGUGAAGGGAAGGAGGUGUUGCAGAUGGAUGGCAAGAUCCGCACAAAAUAUCGUCAAUCCUCAAUUGAUAUUUUCAACGAUAUGGAAAGUGAAGCAAGGGUGCUGCUUGCAUCAACAAAGGCUUGCUGUGAAGGGAUAAGCCUAACUGGGGCUUCAAGGGUUGUACUUCUGGAUGUUGUGUGGAACCCAGCAGUAGGAAGACAAGCCAUCAGCCGAGCAUACAGAAUUGGGCAGAAGAAAUUUGUGUACACUUACAACCUGAUGACAAGUGGAACAGGGGAAAGAGACAAAUAUGACAGACAAGCUAAAAAGGAUCAUCUUUCUAAAUUAGUGUUUUCCACUGAAAUUGAUUUUACUAAUGUCAGAAACAGUUCAUCACAGGCCAAAGAGGAACAUUCAACUAAAUUGAUUUCUGAAGAUAAAAUUUUAGAAGAGAUGACUGCACAUGACAAACUAAAGGGCAUGUUUCUCAAGAUUUACUAUCCACCAAAGGGUAUAUGCACUUAACAGUGUUGGCCCCUAAUUGAUGCAGCGGCAACCAUUGACUGAAUUUCAUUUGAUGGAGACUUCUUUUCUUGUGCACACCAUCAAUAAAUGCACUCUUACUUUUCCUGAUGAUGAUUUUUUAAACAAUUUAUGAGUUUUAUCGGAGAAUAGUUAGUCAAGAUACAAGUUUGAAUGAGAAUCCAAUGCACUUAUCGGGAAUAUCUCAUACGGCCAUGAAGUUGAUGCAGUCAUGAUAUGCAUGAUGGAAUUAAUGCAAUGAAAUGCUAAUGGCUGUUGAUGGAAGUUGUUUGAGCGCUUGACAUGGUUUUGUUGCAUAAUAGGAUUUAAUGAUCAAUUAUGGUUAGGAUUAAUUCUCAUUUAUGCUCCUUUUCACAUCUGACCUGUCUAGACUAAUGUAAUGAGGACGAUUUAAUGAUUUACUUCUAUGGAACCAACUCUUUUCAUCCGAUCAAAA